GUUUCUGUAGUGUAGUGGUUAUCACAUUCGCCUGACACGCGGAAGUCCCUCGUUCGAAACCAGGCAGAAACA